rnacentral:rRNA from 1 species
CCUACGGGUGGCAGCAGUGAGGAAUAUUGGUCAAUGGACGAGAGUCUGAACCAGCCAAGUAGCGUGAAGGAUGACUGCCCUAUGGGUUGUAAACUUCUUUUAUAAAGGAAUAAAACGAGGCACGUGUGCCUUUUUGCAUUUACUUUAUGAAUAAGGAUCGGCUAACUCCGUGCCAGCAGCCGCGGUAAUACGGAGGAUCCGAGCGUUAUCCGGAUUUAUUGGGUUUAAAGGGAGCGUAGAUGGGUUGUUAAGUCAGUUGUGAAAGUUUGCGGCUCAACCGUAAAAUUGCAAUUGAUACUGGCAGUCGUGAGUACAGUUGAGGUAGGCGGAAUUCGUGGUGUAGCGGUGAAAUGCUUAGAUAUCACGAAGAACCCCGAUUGCGAAGGCAGCUUACUAAACUGUGACUGACAUUGAUGCUCGAAAGUGUGGGUAUCAAACAGGAUUAGAUACCCUUGUAGUC